rnacentral:lncRNA from 1 species
UGCCAGUGUUAGCAGCAUGGCCAAUGCCACCCGCUGCGCUGGGGAGGAGCAAGCUCCCUCGAGCCCUGCCGCAGACUCUUUGCUGUUGCUUUCUCAAGCUAUCAAAUAAAGGAUCUUUUUGUUGGUUGUGUUACGAGAGUCUCUGGGAACCCCAGUUCAUGAAACCAAGUUUAAUUUUUUGUGAGGUAGCAAGAAAUCAGACAACAAAAUCCUGUUCCUGCUGCAGACAGCCUAGUCCAAGCAUGGGCUUCAUGACUCACAUGAGGGAGCAGUAAGUCCUGAAAACAGGUAACAGGUUUCAGAUACAAAAGCUUGGUCCAUUUGCACAUUAUGGAGGGAUAUUAAGAUCCACUUUGAGUAGAGCAAACAGCCGUGUCAAUAAAUGCACUUUGUUUUUUCUGCCGCUGUGGGAAACACCCAUGUUUGGAAGAGUUUUCAGGUGCUCAGCACAACGCCACAACUUCCAACACAGUGACUGCACUGGGCUGCCCCCAGAGUCAUAAUCGUAAAUACACAUUUGAACAGGUUUGGGUGGCCAGAAAGCUCAAGAGCAGAACAUAUUUUGUGAAGGGCCGGGAAGGUGGACAACUCCACCCUCUGUGUGUUUGCACCCAGUGUGUGAGCAGUGCCGGAGUAGAGGCAGAGCCACCAGUAGCACCGGGCCCUGAGCAGAUCCGGCUCCCGGGGGACUGGUGCCCGGCCACCCACCCUGAGCCACUGACAAUCCUCAGAUGCCUUUGUCCACUGGUGUCUUUCUACCCAAUACGUGUCCAAGUAAUCUUUGCCUGCAACAGAGCAACUGAUAGCUGCACGGAAGGAAGUCGAAGGCUGUUUAGUCAAAGCACCAAGGAAGAAGUUGCUCUUCCACACCUCUGCAGCUACGCUGGUCCAUACAGGCACACAGCACAGCAGCAAGGAGCAGAGGAGCACUUGGCACCCAUGGUGCCCAUGCAGGAAAUCCAGCGGGAUGAGCACUGAGGCUGGAGUGGGGCUGCAGCCCUCAGCCUUCCUCUCUCUGGAGACCUUCCUAUUUCAAGGCAUGGCUCAGAAGCAUCUCCCCUUAUUGUUUGCUUGUGCAGCUUUAAUGCUCCAUAUGUAUGUAUAUCCUGAGCCAAAGUCAACAGGAGCCUUCCUCCACCCUCAGCCUUCAACCAUGUUGCAGGGAGUGUGUUUUGUCCCAAGGAAUUCACAGUCCACAGGGCACAUAAAUAUACAUAAGGGGAAAAAGACAAC